CUACGGGAGGCAGCAGUGGGGAAUAUUGGACAAUGGGCGCAAGCCUGAUCCAGCCAUGCCGCGUGAGUGAUGAAGGCCCUAGGGUUGUAAAGCUCUUUCACCGGUGAAGAUAAUGACGGUAACCCGA
rnacentral:rRNA from 1 species